CAAAUUAGAUCUUGAAUAAGUUUUUUAUUUACAUUAAAAAGAUAAUUAUUGAAUUAAUUUAAUUUGA
rnacentral:tRNA from 1 species